rnacentral:rRNA from 3 species
CUGUGAGCUCGAUGAGUAGGGCGGGACACGUGGUAUCCUGUCUGAAUAUGGGGGGACCAUCCUCCAAGGCUAAAUACUCCUGACUGACCGAUAGUGAACCAGUACCGUGAGGGAAAGGCGAAAAGAACCCCGGCGAGGGGAGUGAAAAAGAACCUGAAACCGUGUACGUACAAGCAGUGGGAGCACAGAGCAAUCUGUGUGACUGCGUACCUUUUGUAUAAUGGGUCAGCGACUUAUAUUCUGUAGCAAGGUUAACCGAAUAGGGGAGCCGAAGGGAAACCGAGUCUUAACUGGGCGUUAAGUUGCAGGGUAUAGACCCGAAACCCGGUGAUCUAGCCAUGGGCAGGUUGAAGGUUGGGUAACACUAACUGGAGGACCGAACCGACUAAUGUUGAAAAAUUAGCGGAUGACUUGUGGCUGGGGGUGAAAGGCCAAUCAAACCGGGAGAUAGCUGGUUCUCCCCGAAAGCUAUUUAGGUAGCGCCUCGUGAAUUCAUCUCCGGGGGUAGAGCACUGUUUCGGCAAGGGGGUCAUCCCGACUUACCAACCCGAUGCAAACUGCGAAUACCGGAGAAUGUUAUCACGGGAGACACACGGCGGGUGCUAACGUCCGUCGUGAAGAGGGAAACAACCCAGACCGCCAGCUAAGGUCCCAAAGUCAUGGUUAAGUGGGAAACGAUGUGGGAAGGCCCAGACAGCCAGGAUGUUGGCUUAGAAGCAGCCAUCAUUUAAAGAAAGCGUAAUAGCUCACUGGUCGAGUCGGCCUGCGCGGAAGAUGUAACGGGGCUAAACCAUGCACCGAAGCUGCGGCAGCGACGCUUAUGCGUUGUUGGGUAGGGGAGCGUUCUGUAAGCCUGCGAAGGUGUGCUGUGAGGCAUGCUGGAGGUAUCAGAAGUGCGAAUGCUGACAUAAGUAACGAUAAAGCGGGUGAAAAGCCCGCUCGCCGGAAGACCAAGGGUUCCUGUCCAACGUUAAUCGGGGCAGGGUGAGUCGACCCCUAAGGCGAGGCCGAAAGGCGUAGUCGAUGGGAAACAGGUUAAUAUUCCUGUACUUGGUGUUACUGCGAAGGGGGGACGGAGAAGGCUAUGUUGGCCGGGCGACGGUUGUCCCGGUUUAAGCGUGUAGGCUGGUUUUCCAGGCAAAUCCGGAAAAUCAAGGCUGAGGCGUGAUGACGAGGCACUACGGUGCUGAAGCAACAAAUGCCCUGCUUCCAGGAAAAGCCUCUAAGCAUCAGGUAACAUCAAAUCGUACCCCAAACCGACACAGGUGGUCAGGUAGAGAAUACCAAGGCGCUUGAGAGAACUCGGGUGAAGGAACUAGGCAAAAUGGUGCCGUAACUUCGGGAGAAGGCACGCUGAUAUGUAGGUGAAGUCCCUCGCGGAUGGAGCUGAAAUCAGUCGAAGAUACCAGCUGGCUGCAACUGUUUAUUAAAAACACAGCACUGUGCAAACACGAAAGUGGACGUAUACGGUGUGACGCCUGCCCGGUGCCGGAAGGUUAAUUGAUGGGGUUAGCGCAAGCGAAGCUCUUGAUCGAAGCCCCGGUAAACGGCGGCCGUAACUAUAACGGUCCUAAGGUAGCGAAAUUCCUUGUCGGGUAAGUUCCGACCUGCACGAAUGGCGUAAUGAUGGCCAGGCUGUCUCCACCCGAGACUCAGUGAAAUUGAACUCGCUGUGAAGAUGCAGUGUACCCGCGGCAAGACGGAAAGACCCCGUGAACCUUUACUAUAGCUUGACACUGAACAUUGAGCCUUGAUGUGUAGGAUAGGUGGGAGGCUUUGAAGUGUGGACGCCAGUCUGCAUGGAGCCGACCUUGAAAUACCACCCUUUAAUGUUUGAUGUUCUAACGUUGACCCGUAAUCCGGGUUGCGGACAGUGUCUGGUGGGUAGUUUGACUGGGGCGGUCUCCUCCUAAAGAGUAACGGAGGAGCACGAAGGUUGGCUAAUCCUGGUCGGACAUCAGGAGGUUAGUGCAAUGGCAUAAGCCAGCUUGACUGCGAGCGUGACGGCGCGAGCAGGUGCGAAAGCAGGUCAUAGUGAUCCGGUGGUUCUGAAUGGAAGGGCCAUCGCUCAACGGAUAAAAGGUACUCCGGGGAUAACAGGCUGAUACCGCCCAAGAGUUCAUAUCGACGGCGGUGUUUGGCACCUCGAUGUCGGCUCAUCACAUCCUGGGGCUGAAGUAGGUCCCAAGGGUAUGGCUGUUCGCCAUUUAAAGUGGUACGCGAGCUGGGUUUAGAACGUCGUGAGACAGUUCGGUCCCUAUCUGCCGUGGGCGCUGGAGAACUGAGGGGGGCUGCUCCUAGUACGAGAGGACCGGAGUGGACGCAUCACUGGUGUUCGGGUUGUCAUGCCAAUGGCACUGCCCGGUAGCUAAAUGCGGAAGAGAUAAGUGCUGAAAGCAUCUAAGCACGAAACUUGCCCCGAGAUGAGUUCUCCCUGACUCCUUGAGAGUCCUGAAGGAACGUUGAAGACGACGACGUUGAUAGGCCGGGUGUGUAAGCGCAGCGAUGCGUUGAGCUAACCGGUACUAAUGAACCGUGAGGCUUAACCUUACAACGCCGAAGGUGUUU